UCGCACCGGUGGUCUGUCUGUCUCACCAAACACAGAGAUCGCUGGUCUCCAGUCCACAGGGAUUCACUGCAGACACUCUGUCUGCAGUCAUGUCUGCUUCAAUCAUUGAACAAUUGGCCUCAACUUGUCUCACAGGGAGAGAUUUUCCUCCUCAGGAAUGCUAAUGCGGAAAAUCCCAACUCCUGCUCGGUGUUAAUUCCCCUGAUUUACUUGAAUGAUAACAUUGAUCAGAGGGGUUCAGUGAGAGCCUGAGUUCAGCGAUGGGCAGGAAGUUAGAUCUGUCUGGGCUGACGGACAACGAGGCGGAGCACGUGCUGCAGGUGGUGCAAAGGGACAUGAAGCUACGCAAGAAAGAGGAGCAGCGCCUCAGAAACGCUCUCAGCCAUCAGUGAACCCAACCAAUAACAAGUGGGACCACACAUGCAAGAUAAACUUAAUGGCUGUGAUUUUCCUUAAGACAUCCAACACUGAAUUUCGCCUUAUUCGACGAUUACAUACAGUGCAGGUUCAUAUAAGGGGACAUUUGUUGUACACGUUUUGGAUGCAUUUUGGUUAAUUUUACCUCUUUUGGCCUUAAAUAAUUAUUUGAAUGAAACCAUCUUGAGGAAUUGGAAAUGUGUCUUUAGUGUAACUGUUAAUAACUCAUAGACAUCUGAAUUGUGACCAGGGGUCCCAACGAGAUAGUGUUUGCAUUUCAUAAGCUCUUCCUAUGCAUGUUAUUGUGAAAUCUGGAGCUACACUUAAAUAACGGUGGCAUAAAAAGUACAAUAUUUGCUUUUGAAAUGAAGUACCUCAUUCAUUGUACAUAAGAACAGUAUUUUAGUUAAUCUCAACUGUGUAAAUCUAGCUCUAAAUUAGUUAGUUUGAUUGUGUGACGUUACCUUAUUCCUUUAAGUGGUGAGCUUUCUACUUUCUCUUACUACAAGUUUGAGCGAAUCAGGUGCCUACUUAUAGAUAAUCUUGUUGUUUACUGUACAAGAGGAGAGGACUUGUGCUGACAUUUGGCUUGAAAAAUAACAUUUUUAUUCAGAUUUAUUAUUGAUAUUAUUUUCUUUAUUUGUGAUCAAGCCAAGAAGGCCUAUUUUAUAUUUAACUUGCUAAAUGAUAUCGACCACAUUCCAUCCACAUGUCCUCUUAAACAGAAGUACAUUAAAUCAUCUUGUACCUCAGCUCUUGUACCAAUUUCAGAUAUCUAGGAGGUAAAUCCCUCGUGUCAUGUUGUACACCGCUUCCUCUUGACAUCAAGUGGGCUUCGACUUGAUGCAUCCUGCUUUUCAAUUUUUCUGACGACUCUCUGAGAUGAAAUCCCGGAGCCUCUCUGAAUGACAAACAGCAAUGGGUGAUAGACAUGGGAGUUUAAUACUAGAGGAGAAUACAAACGAGUGAAUAAAGUGUUGAAUUGUUCACUCUUCCUCCUUCUCAUGUAGAGAGAAACUGUUGCUGUUGACUCUGAUCUCAUCUGAAUCAGUGGACAUAAUCUUAUAAAGGUGUCUUUGAAUGAUAACUGAAACUUCACGCACCCAUUUGUAAAUUAACUGAUAUUAUGGUGCCUUGUUCUCUGCCUUGAGGUUGCGGCCACAUUAUAACUGCUGCAGAUAUUAGUACUUUCUAUUUUAGGAUGAGAUUCAUCUACCAGCCAACAGGGGGCAUGUUGAGCAGAGAAAAGGCUUCUAAUCUCCACAGUGAACAUGAAACAAUGUUUUUUUUUUUUUUUACGUGGGUUAUUAUAACUAAUGACGAUUUUAAUCACACCUACUUAUUGUGGUUACAUUUAUUAUAAUCUGUAUUCACAGUAAUCCAUUCUAAUCUGUGAAGAAACAACACUACUUAGUUUUAUAAUCUGUGAAAUUAGGCAUAGCUUGUAGUUCUUAUAAACCAGCUGUGAGACACAGUUUCCAGUCUUUCAGUUGAACAGAGUUAAAACUAGUGUGGCCUAAUACAACAGUCCUGCAGUAAAUUCUACCUGCAUGAAGGUUAUAAUGAAUGAUUUUUGUUCAACUGUUUCAGAGAGGUGUUGAUUAAACUUAAUGUCCAUGUUGGAUGUUUUUGUUGUUACGGUUCUGUUAACUUUAUGAUGUGAAUUUAAAAAUGUGUUUGCAUAUUCAAUACAAAUUACAUUAUUUUGCUGGUCUUUAUCAGAAAAACUUUAUUGUGAAACUCAACAUGACUCACACAAACAAACAU